CGAAAGGGAAACAGCCCAGACCACCAGCUAAGGUCCCAAAAUAUAUGUUAAGUGGAAAAGGAUGUGGCGUUGCCCAGACAACUAGGAUGUUGGCUUAGAAGCAGCCAUCAUUUAAAGAGUGCGUAAUAGCUCACUAGUCGAGUGACACUGCGCCGAAAAUGUACCGGGGCUAAACAUAUUACCGAAGCUGUGGAUUGUCCUUUGGACAAUGGUAGGAGAGCGUUCUAAGGGCGUUGAAGCAUGAUCGUAAGGACAUGUGGAGCGCUUAGAAGUGAGAAUGCCGGUGUGAGUAGCGAAAGACGGGUGAGAAUCCCGUCCACCGAUUGACUAAGGUUUCCAGAGGAAGGCUCGUCCGCUCUGGGUUAGUCGGGUCCUAAGCUGAGGCCGACAGGCGUAGGCGAUGGAUAACAGGUUGAUAUUCCUGUACCACCUAUAAUCGUUUUAAUCGAUGGGGGGACGCAGUAGGAUAGGCGAAGCGUGCGAUUGGAUUGCACGUCUAAGCAGUAAGGCUGAGUAUUAGGCAAAUCCGGUACUCGUUAAGGCUGA
rnacentral:rRNA from 1 species